CCUACGGGAGGCAGCAGUGGGGAAUCUUGCGCAAUGGGCGAAAGCCUGACGCAGCAACGCCGCGUGCGGGAAGAAGGCUUUCGGGCUGUAAACCGCUUUCAGCAGGAACGAAAAUGACGGUACCUGCAGAAGAAGGAGCGGCCAACUAUGUGCCAGCAGCCGCGGUGAUACAUAGGCUUCAAGCGUUGUCCGGAUUUAUUGGGCGUAAAGAGUUCGUAGGCGGUCGAGUAAGUCGGGUGUGAAAAUUCUGGGCUCAACCCAGAGACGCCACCCGAUACUGCUUGACUUGAGUUCGAUAGGGGAGUGGGGAAUUCCUAGUGUAGCGGUGAAAUGCGCAGAUAUUAGGAGGAACACCGGUGGCGAAGGCGCCACUCUGGAUCGAUACUGACGCUGAGGAACGAAAGCAUGGGUAGCAAACAGGAUUAGAUACCCUGGUAGUCCAUGCCGUAAACGGUGGGCACUAGGUGUGGGUUUCUAUUAACGAAAUCCGCGCCGUCGCUAACGCAUUAAGUGCCCGCCUGGGGAGUACGGUCGCAAGACUAAAACUUAAAGGAAUUGAACGGCUGAGACGUGCGAGCGCGACGAGGAGAGG
rnacentral:rRNA from 1 species